GCUGCCCCUAGAGGCAUUGCAGGUAUGACUGACUGCUAUGUGUAGCCAUAGGUGACAGAGAGAAGAGAGGAUAUGUCUACACUCAGUGUCCUGACCUGUGAACUUCUGAAUGAUUAGCCUGCUAACACU